UAGAACGUCGUGAGACAGUUCGGUCUCUAUCUGGUGUGGGCGCACGAUCAUUGAAGCAAAGAUCUCCUUAGUACGAGAGGACCGGGAGAUACGAACCUCUGGUGUUCCAGUUGUCCUGCCAAGGGCAAUGGCUGGGUAGCCAUGUUCGGGAGGGAUAAGCGCUGAAUGCAUAUAAGUGCGAAACCCGUUGCAAGAUGAAUGAUCGAUUCCCCGCAAGGGGAUGAAGGCACGUUGUAGACUACGACGUUGAUAGGCCGUAUGUGUAAGAUCCGUAAGGAUUUUAGCUAAGCGGUACUAAUCUGCCAAACGCUUGAUCAU
rnacentral:rRNA from 1 species